UACAGAGUGGGCAAGCGUUGUCCGGAUUUACUGGGCGUAAAGCGCCCGUAGGCGGCUUUUUAAGUUGGACGUGAAAGCUCCCGGCUUAACUGGGAGAGGCCGUUCAAAACUGAGAGGCUAGAGUGAGGCAGAGGAGCGCGGAAUUCCCGGUGUAGUGGUGGAAUGCGUAGAUAUCGGGAGGAACACCAAUGGCGAAGGCAGUUUGCUAGGCUGAUUCAGACACUGAGAUGUGAAAGCGUGGGGAGCGAACGGG
rnacentral:rRNA from 1 species